AGCACACUCGUAGGGUGCCAUCCAAGAA
rnacentral:piRNA from 1 species